AUGUCCCUACGGGAGGCAGCAGUAGGGAAUAUUGCUCAAUGGGGGAAACCCUGAAGCAGCAACGCCGCGUGAAGGAAGAAGGCUUUCGGGUUGUAAACUUCUUUUAAGAGGGAAGAGCAGAAGACGGUACCUCUUGAGUAAGCCACGGCUAACUACGUGCCAGCAGCCGCGGUAAUACGUAGGUGGCAAGCGUUGUCCGGAUUUACUGGGUGUAAAGGGCGUGUAGCCGGGCUGACAAGUCAGAUGUGAAAUUCCGGGGCUCAACCCCGGACCUGCAUUUGAAACUGUUGGUCUUGAGUAUCGGC
rnacentral:rRNA from 1 species